UAUUAACAUACUAAAAACUGGUCUUUGCGGUAAAUACCUGAUAUUCAGAUUAUUUUGCUGAGAAUUUUAUAGGUUAGGAAACAAUACGUUUUUACUGCGCAAUUUAAAUAAACAAAGUGGUCAGGCAUCGCACGGACAGCUAUGUGGGGGGUCUUUUAUCGUCACCAUGGAAACCGUUCUACAAUGUUCAGUCUUUGGGCACAACCUGCUGAACAGAGCAAAAACACAACAUAUAAAGCUAAGAAACUUUUUAAAAUAUGUAUAAUGCACUUAAAUUGUAAGAAUGUUAAUCUUCCUCUUUUACCAAAGUUGUAAAAACAAAAGUGAUUUGCUUAUUCCGAAACAACAACCUGUUGUUUCCUUCUUUUCAUUCAUUUAAUUUUACCAACACAAAACCAUACUUUACAAAAAGGCUCUGUCCAGGAGAUUGGAACAGAUUUUUCCUUAAGAAGAAAGAUAAAAAAAGAAGUUGGUUGUUAAUGAGCUUACACAUUCAGGAACUGAAACCAGAGGUUUACCGCAACAUCUUCAGUUGUGUAGUCAGUGCUUUCAGAAUGUACAAGCCUUUUCUUCCUGUUGUCACAAAAGGAAUAUGAAAACAUUUUGGGCCAGUAACUUCGUUAAUUUCAUGUCUUCAUCUUGUUCGUUCCUCAAGAUUAAAAUACAUUAUUGUGCUUGUUUUAAAAAUGUUAAAACACAUUGAGUCAGAUUGUAUUUUGAUGGUGUUUCUUAUUAUAAAAGAGAUAUAGCUAUAUAUAUGUAGAAAAGUUUGUCAUUAAACAUCUUUAUUCAAAACUAGAAAUAAUUUGACUGGUCCAGCAUCAAGCCGGUCUGUUGCUGAUGAAACUGAAGCUCAAAAGGUUGAUUAAGGAAAAUUACAAGGGGAGCAAUUGUAUUUUUUAAGGUGUCACCAAAAAAAAUGUCCUUGACUUCCUUAAUUUUGGGAGGUUGGUGAUUGAGCAACACUUAAAUGACAGAAUGAUCUUAUUUACUGAUGAAGUCUGAAAAUCAGUCUGUUGCCAACUUAGCAAUUUUGUUGCGAGUUUAGUGACUUUUCAAACAAAAACAAUUGGUGAUGGACAAAAUCGGAUCCAGCAAAUCAGGCUGUUUAAAGAUCGGUGGUCGGCCAGAAAACUGUAGUAGAUGCACAGAGCCUGACUGGUCUGGAUAUUUUUGAAUAAAGUAAAUUAUCAUUUCAAAACAGAUUUUUUUUUUUAUUCACUCAGAUUAUUUUUGUCUGAUACAUAACUUGAAAUUUGAAACAUUUAACUGUGAAAAAAGCAAAAACAGAAUAUGUUUGUAUAGUGGUAAAUAUAGUUACAUUUCUUUGUCAUUGAGACAAACAAAUACAGAUGGAAACAACCAAUGUCUCUAAAUCUUGACAAUAACAUUAAUGCUUUUUUGGGGGUUUUUUUUUAAUAUAAAGACUCUUCAGGACUGAGUACGAAGUCCUGCUGGCACUCCACAAAAGAAGCAAACCAAGUCAUUUUUCAGCUGCUUUUCAGACAGCAGAGUCACAUGAAGAACCAGAUGAACAUGUGACCAUCGGUCAGAUCCAAGCUGACAACAGCAGUGAUGACUCCAACAUGAAGCAGAAGAUUCAGAUAAUCUUAGUUUUUAUAAUCUAAAGCAGGGGUGUCUUUUUCCUCCAACUGAGGUUUAAUGGUCCUUACUGUAGUUCUGUGGAGUCUUAAAGCUUUAGAAAUAUAAAUUUGUCAGCCAUUCCAGACUGAUAGAUGUCAGUGUUGUUGUUUGUUUUACUUUUCCUCAUUUGUAUUUAUUUAGGAUGUCUUUGAUAUUAUAAUGCAAGGAUUCGGAAUAUUAAAGUGUGACAAAAUGUCAAAAACA